rnacentral:rRNA from 1 species
AUGGCGGCUGAAGUGAGUUCCUCUUCUGCGGGAUGGAAGGGGAAGGAUUUGGAAGAGAUGCUGCAACAUCUGGAUCUUCAGGAUGAUGAGUUGGAUGACGUGGUUGUUGGAGAGGAGGAUUUGAGAAAGUACGAGGCAGAUGCAAGGUGGCUAGCAAUUGGGAAGGUGAACACGACCAGGCAAUUUAGCUCAUCGUCGAUGUUUGAAACUAUGGAGUCAAUAUGGGGGCUAGCGCAUGUCCCCAAGUACAGAGAGGCUGGUGAGAACCUCUACAUCUUCCAGAUGUUUUGCUUAGGGGAUUGGAAGAAGGUUGUUCAUGGAGGACCUUGGUUGUUUAGAGGGAUGGGGAUGCUUAUUGAAGACUAUGAUGGCAAACAGGAGCCAACGUCCUAUGUGUUUGACGGCCUAUACGUUUGGGCUCAGAUUCACAACAUACCAGAGCUAUACAGGAAGGCGGAGGUAGUGGAUCAAUUAGCAAGACGCAUUGGUCGGGUCAAGGAAACUCAGCUCUCCCCGAGGCUAUUUUACGAAGGAGACUAUGUCAGAGUGCAUGCAAGGGUUCUGGUGAAUAAGCCUCUAACUAGGGUG